GACUUGACGUCAAUCACUAUUUGCGCUCGCUCUUUCUGCAUUCAGUGUUUUCUCCAUGCCUUUACAAUGCGAUAUAGGAAUGAAAUUGACUGAGUUGAAAAAGCUUUUUCCUGAACUCUACAUGGAAACGUAUCGCCCGGGGACAUAACAACACGAGAAAUAGAGCACUUUGUACUUUAGAAACUGAGGAGAAUGCAGCUCGUGAAAGUAUAUUGUACCCGGGAUACGAUGGACGGACAUCGCUAUGUGGGUCAGUCCUUCCUUAUGCAUCACUAGAGCAUUGAUCAUCUCCGAGCCGUUAAUCCUUCAUAAACUGGUUAACCUUACCGCGAAGCUCGCUUACUCAGAAACCAUCUUUUUAUAUAUAACAGAUUUAAAAAUGACUUUUUCAACGCAUUUUAAUUUGGUUAGGGACAAAGGCAAACUGUGAUGCAAUAUAUAAAAAAUUCAUUCAUAGUCACCUAAAAAAAAUAAAAAGAAGAAUAGCAUUCA